AUUAAAUAAUUGACUUAGAAAGUUUAAAUGGUUCAGUAUCUUAUUAUAUUUGAAUAUUCGGGAUUUCAGUUGAUUUUGGGAAUGUAAUAAAGAAUUUAUGAAGUUUCGUGAAAUAGAAAUGGUUUUCUACCCCUCGUGGUAGCGUGUUUUAAAAAGAAAGAGUUUUCGUGUGUGAAACAGUUUUAAAAUGUUUUCUCGUGGUUUUUGUAACUUAGUAUUUCAAAACCAGUUUCUGAGUAAGAAAUAUUUUAACUAAUAGUUGUGGUUUUAUGAUUAGACUCUGAAUGCGAAUCUGUUAUGAAUGGUGUAUGAAUGUAUAAAUGUAUGAAUGUUUGUAUAUUCAGUUGUGGUGGUUGUAUACUGUUUAUGUAUCUUGUACUUGUGUAACGCCGUGCAAAUACAGGGGAGACUCUGUUCAUGUGAACAGUGG
rnacentral:lncRNA from 1 species